CUAUCACUAACACUACAGGAGGAAGAAGAGGGCGAGUUCAUCUGGGAGGAGGAGCUGCCGGACAGGGUGGAGCCGGCGAAGUGGUUAGCAAUUGUACGCGUCCACACGCUGAAGUCUUUCAGCCCUAAUGCGCUCUAUGGAGAUAUGCGUGCAGCCUGGAACCCUGCUAAGCAAGUUGUUUGGAGGAAGAUAAAGAACAAUCUGUUCACAGCGCAGUUUGGGUGCCUGGGGGAUUGGCACAAGGUGAUGGUUUAG
rnacentral:rRNA from 1 species